GGAUGUGAGGGUAAUCUGGCUGUGACAUCUGUCACCCCACUGAUCAUCAGGGCUGAUUCAGAUGAUCUGGCUGGCUAGGUGGGUGUCCCCUUCCUCCCUUGCUGUUUUAUGUGCGUCCCUCCUGAAGCUGCAGCACUCUGUCAAAGAGGAUGGCCUUCCCCAAAUAGAGAUGGACCGGUCUUCGAAUAGCUGCACUCCCCUGCUAGGACCUCCAAACAAACUCUCAAGAAAAUGGUGAUUCACUGUUUUUUCAUGCAGUUUUUAGAUACAAGGCCUUUUUUUUUUUCAAAUAUUUAUUUAUUU
rnacentral:snRNA from 1 species